UACGUAGGGGGCAAGCGUUGUCCGGAUUUAUUGGGCGUAAAGAGCGUGUAGGCGGCCAAGCAGGUCAGCUGUGAAAACUCGAGGCUCAACCUCGAGACGUCGGUUGAAACCGCUUGGCUAGAGUCCGGAAGAGGAGAGUGGAAUUCCCGGUGUAGCGGUGAAAUGCGCAGAUAUCGGGAAGAACACCCGUGGCGAAGGCGGCUCUCUGGGACGGUACUGACGCUGAGACCCGAAAGCGUGGGGAUCAAACAGG
rnacentral:rRNA from 1 species